rnacentral:rRNA from 1 species
CGCUGUAGGAUGAGACUGCGAUCUAUCAGCUUGUUGGUGAGGUAAUGGCCCACCAAGGCUAUAACAGAUACGGGCUCUGAGAGGAGAAGCCCGGAGAUGGGUACUGAGACACGGACCCAGGCCCUAUGGGGCGCAGCAGGCGAGAAAACUUUGCAAUGUGCGAAAGCACGACAAGGUUAAUCCGAGUGUUUUCUGCUAAAGAAAUCUUUUGUCAGUCUUAGAACCACUAACGAAUAAGGGGUGGGCAAGUUCUGGUGUCAGCCGCCGCGGUAAAACCAGCACCUCAAGUGGUCAGGAUGAUUAUUGGGCCUAAAGCAUCCGUAGCCGGCUUUGUAAGUUUUCGGUUAAAUCCAUAUGCUCAACAUAUGGGCUGCCGGGAAUACUGCACAGCUAGGGAGUGGGAGAGGUAGACGGUACUCGGUAGGUAGGGGUAAAAUCCUUUGAUCUAUUGAUGACCACCUGUGGCGAAGGCGGUCUACCAGAACACGUUCGACGGUGAGGGAUGAAAGCUGGGGGAGCAAACCGGAUUAGAUACCCGGGUAGUCCCAGCUGUAAACUAUGCAAACUCGGUGAUGCAUUGGCUUGUAGCCAGUGCAGUGCCGCAGGGAAGCCGUUAAGUUUGCCGCCUGGGAAGUACGUACGCA